rnacentral:rRNA from 1 species
UAACGAGUUAGGGUCUUUUAUAGGCUCGACCUCCCAACCCUUUGUUUACCCGACCCACGUUGCUUCGGCGAGCCCGUCUCUCCCUCUCCGGGGGGGCAGACCGCCGGGGGGCCUUCAAACCGUCCUCUGGCCCGCGCUCGUCGGUAGCCAACCUUUACAAAUUCUUAAUUAAACGUGUCUACUCUGAGUACUAUUUUUUUAAUUAAAAGCAAAACUUUCAACAACGGAUCUCUUGGUUCUGGCAUCGAUGAAGAACGCAGCGAAAUGCGAUAAGUAAUGCGAAUUGCAGAAUUCCAGUGAGUCAUCGAAUCUUUGAACGCACAUUGCGCCCUUUGGCAUUCCGAAGGGCAUGCCUGUUCGAGCGUCAUUAUCACCUCUCAAGCCCCCCUUUUCUGGGCUUGGUGUUGGACGGCCUGGCGUCGGCGACGACCCCACCUCCCAAAGACAAUGACGGCGGCUUCGUGAGACCCCCGGUACACUGAGUUCCUCACCGAACACGUACUGGAUCAAGGGUAGACGGAGCCCCGGUCGACCUCCCCUCACAGGGAGACACUUUUUUACAAGGUUGACCUCGGAUCAGGUAGGAAUACCCGCUGAACUUAAGCAUAUCAAUAAGCGGAGGAA